GAGAUCAUUCCUGGGAAGUCAUUGCAGAGAGAUUGAUUGUGAUAUAGAUCAUUGCUGAGAGAGGAUGUUGAUGGAUGAGGGUUAUAGCUUGUUGAGAGAUGGGUUCCCUCUUCAGAGGCGUGUGUAACAAUGGUGCAAGCUUCAACUGUCACCCUCCCUGUUUCCGAGCAAGAGCCACAGAUCACUCUUCCUUCCCCUCUCCUCCUUUCCCUUUCUCACCAUCCAUUAUGUUUGUUUGGCAAAGCUGAACCCUAAUUUCACAGCUCAGGCAGUGGAGACCUCAGCUUCUUUGUGGCUACUUAAUAUCUGAAGGUGAAAGUCUCUUCUCUUUGUUCUAUGAGUUGAUGAACACAUGGCUGCUUUUAUAGACUCGCUGCAAAUGCAAGACCAUGUCUGGUUGGCUUCAUUUAGAAUGACCCUCGGAUCUAAAGGCUUAACUGUCAGUGAAGCAGUAAGAGAGACACUGUGAUACAUACGCAGGUCUGCUUCUUACAUAUCUCUAUCCAGCCUGGUCGUUCACAAUGGACAUCGAAACUGUGCGUCUAUCCAUGUCCUGAAGACAUUGGGAAAUGCCUUCAAAACCAGCCACUAAGUGCAACAGUGUAAUAUUACCUUCAAGUAUGCUUGUGGUGUUUAAUUACACCUUUAUUUAACCAGGUAGGCUAGUUGAGAACAA